AACAAUGCUUCCUUUUAUGUUGCAAAUAUAAUGUACAUAUUAUGUAACUUAUUUAUUUAAGACUACACCUUAAUUAGCCACAGCUGCAUAUCGUAGUGUAUGAUAGGGGUAUAAUAAUAACUAAAAAUCACCAAGGAGUUAUGUGUAGUGGUAUAUUUUAGUUCAUCAGUAGAAUCGGCAACAUAAGGACUAAAUCGGUGGAUCAUGCCUUCGUGCAUUUUGAAACAUUACCAACAUUUAGAAGUUGACAAAAUAUAAAAAGAAAAAUGAAAGACUACACAAAAUCAUCGACAUUCCCGAUAUCGGUCGAUUGUAUAAUGGGGUUGUAAUAGUGGCUAAAAAUCACUAAGAUGGAGUGUGUACUUGUGCAUUAAGAAUAUCAGAACAAUCCAAUAGUCGGCAACAUAUGGACUUUCCAAAAGCGGUGAAUCCUGCCUUUGUAUUUAG
rnacentral:lncRNA from 1 species